CAGGAGCAAAGAACCAAGAAGAAACCUUUGUUGUUCAAAAUUCUGAAAAUUAGAAGGGUUUAAGAAGCCAAAUCAGAUGCAUGAACUCAAAAUCUUAAUCAUCUAAGCUUGUUCAUCAAAGUGGCGUAAAGGAAGAAAGUUCAAGUCAAGCGAAGCAACAAGGGAAUCAAGAUCAAGGUAAAACUCAAGUCUAAAUGGUCAAGCUUCGCUCGGAUCGAACACACUUCGAAUGCCCUCCACGUGCUUCCGCAACUUUUGAAACAAUGUUAACGGGUCAAAAAUACUUUUGUUAAAUAGCUUAUGUUUGGUAGUUAAACUUUAAACUUGAUAUGCUAUGUCUUU